GAGCCUGGCAGGUGGUCUUGGGCC
rnacentral:piRNA from 1 species